ACCUUACACCUACGGUAUAAGGCAUAAGGGUAAAGGACGAGCGCGCGUGGACGAUCGACGCGACGUUACCGGUCGGCUAUCUUCAAAUUCGUCACGGAUUAUCGAUUCGUUUUGCGACGACAGAAAGCGAGUGAGACAUUCUGCUUUUCGAAUCAUUUUGUUAUCAUCUUUCCUGCAUCAAAUCCUUGAAAAUGGGGGACAGAUACAACAUUCACAGUCAGCUGGAACACUUACAAUCAAAAUAUAUAGGAACUGGACAUUCUGAUACCACGAAAUGGGAGUGGUUAACAAAUCAACAUCGAGACUCGAUAAGCAGUUAUUUGGGACAUCAGGAUCUGAUCAAUUAUUUCUCUCUGGCAGAAAAUGAGUCGAAAGCCCGGGUAAAAUUCAACCUUUUGCAGAAGAUGGUACAGCCAUGUGGUCCACCUCCUGAUAAACCAGAUGAUCAACUUUAGAAUAUCCGUCUUCUUUGACCGUUGCAUGAUGGGAACUGAUUCCGAUGCACUCAAAUCUCCAAUGGAUAUUCAGAUUUUGUCUUAAGUACUCCAUCAGUUUAACCUUAUUUUGCUGACUCCAUGCAUUCUGAAUGCUGAGCACUUUCUCAUUUUAUUGAUGAGAUCAAAGGUGAAGAGUCCCACUACCACUGCAGACAUUGGUUCCAGGAACUUCAGCUUUUGGCCUAUAUUGCAGAAAGUCCAAGAGAGCUCCAAGAGUUGCAAUCAAAUUCAACUCCAUUUUCAGCUAAUCAGAACGCCACAUCUGGGACUUGCGAUUGAUUUUUCAAGUUGCUUUUAAACCUAUCCCUCUUUGCAACCGGCUCGUGGAGUACUCUGAUGGUUUUAUGAGACACAAAUCGCAAUGCGAAGCCUACCAUGGAAUGCUCGCCAACUCAUGGGAAAAGAUUUGGAGGCAUCAAUAUUUUCUUCAUGCAUCAGUCAUCAGUGUACAUGUACAUGUAGAUACUCAAGAACUUGCUGUAAAUUCAUUCAAGUGGAGUCAUGGCACCUGUGCAGUACAGUAAUUGGGCCUAAAUGUUUAUACACACUGCGAGAAUGAUGACUCCUUUUCUAUUGGGAAUUACCUGUGAACUACAUGUACAUGUAGUCAAGAUUCGUCUUGGGUUUCGCUGUGUUUACCUAUGAACCAACAAUAAGUUGCGAACUGUAGACCAACAAUAUAACCAUUCUGAAGUUUGAGAAAAGAAUCUCAAUCUGAAGUGUGAUCAUUUCGAGAUAGAUGCUAAUUCUUUAACAAUAUAUUAUUUCCACUUUCCAUUUAAACGGGUUGGAAAGCCUGCUUUUGUGUGAUAUGUAGUUUUGUUGGUUCUACAGUAUGUUAAAUUAUGAUAUUGAUGUCCAUAUUUCGGCUAUUUAUAUGUCACAUAGUAACUCAAUUCCAAUAUUUAGAAGAGAAUUAUGCAAGCAAAGAAUGCGAUAUUUAGCCCUUUGAAGUCAAAUUUCUCCUUAAAGGUCAAGUCCACCCCAGGAAAAUGCUGACUUGAAUAAAUAGAGAAAAAUCAAACUAGCAUAGUGCUGAAAAUUUCAUCAAAAUCGUUUUAAAUUUUCGCUUAUUUUUCACAAAACAAUGAUGUGCACAACAAGGUGAGUCAGUCGAUGAUGUCCAUCACUCACUAUUUUGUUUUUUAUUGUUUGAAUUGUACAAUUUUUCAUUUUUUAUAGAUUUGACAAUAAGGACCAACUUGACUGAACCAUAUAGUAUCAAACAAUACUAAUUCCACAUGUUCAGGGAGGAAUUAAUCGUUGUUUCACUUGACAAUGAGGAGAAAAUUAGAAUAUUUCAUGUUUCAUAUAAUAAAAUACAAAAGAAAUAGUGAGUGGAUGACGUCAUCAGACUCCUCAUUUGCAUACCGAUCAGGAUGUGCAUAUAACUGUUUUGUGAAAUUAAGCAAAAACUUUUAAAUGUCAUAACUUUCUUAUUUUACAUCCGAUUUUGAUGAAAUUUUCAGUGUUAUGAUUGUUGGAUUUUUCUCUUUUUAUUCAAAUCAACUUUUUGUUGGGGUGGACUUGUCCUUUACGUUUGUCUAUAAACUUCUCUGGGUCCUGUAACACAAAGGUUAGCGAUUAGUCGUACUCUUGAUUUUCAUGAUUGUCUGCACAUUGUAGUCAAUGCAAUUGUAGAAAAAUUUAUAUGAUCAUUGCUAAGCUUUGUGUUACAUUCCCCAGGUCUCAAGAGAUUUGAAUGAGUUAGACUUAGGGACAGUUUUCUGUGUAAAAAAAUUACCAUUUCAGUUUUUAAAAACUUAUAAUUACAUGUAUGUGUCAAACUUGAUCUCAUUUGGAAAUUCCGUUUUGUCAGAAAAAUAUGCACAGCAAAAAUGUGAAUUCUGUCGUGCUAAGAUAAAAACAAAUGCUGGCAGGAAAAGAAAAAAAAAGAUUUUCCGUUUUGAUUUUAAUACUGGUAAAUGGAAAAUCAAUGUCCUUACAGACACGCCUAUAAUAAUAUCUCCUAAAACACUUCCUGCCCAUAAUUAGUGUUUCUAAAGAUCAUGUACUAAACAAAGAUCAUGAAAUAAAUAACGUGACCUGAAGGGGAAGGCAGAUGAAGUGGAAACUUGUUUGAUAAAAACACUAGGGAAAACAGAUUUGUGAAAGUUUUAACUGAAUCAAACAAUUAAUAUGAAAGUUAUGAUUCUUUUUUUUUUAUUCCAGAAAUUGUAAUCACAUUACCUACAUGCAUUGGGAGUAGGGGGGGUGGUCAAAUUGGCCAUCUUGGUAUUGUAUUUUUUUCCAAGGUGGGGUUAUUUAGACAGAGUUACUCACAGAUGUACAUGUACAUAUUUUUAGUUUCCAAACCUGAUUUUUCUUUAUUUCUCUAGCUAUUUAUUUAUUUAUUUUAUUUUGUUUAAUUUUUUGGUAUUUAUUAUAUUCUUAUAAUUUUUUUUUUUGGGGGGGGAUAGUUCACUUUUUAAAGAUUCUGUUUUGUUAUAAAUACUUGUAAUAAAUUAGGCACAAUAAAUGUUUGUUUUACUAAGUA